GAAUAAAAUUCUCUCACCUAUUUUUGUGUCUUGAAUUGAUUGAUUGAAUGCAAGAAAAGCCAUGUCUUCUUACUCUUCUCUGAUCUGCAUAUCCAUUGAAUUUAGCUCUGGUAACAUGCUCUAUUUUGCUCUGGUAAUUAUUAUUCCUCAUCUAAAUUCAGUUUCUUUUAUGCUAUACGUUUCAAUUUUAAUUGUUCCAAUUCCAAACUUUGUAACUUGGUAUUCACACUGGUCAACAUAUAAACCAUGGAUAGAUCCCUAAUUAUUUUUUGACAAUUAUAGUUAUUUGGUUUUAUUUGAUAUUUGAGUUUUUUCAAAAAAAAUACUAAAUUAAUUCAAUUGUUAACUUUCAUGCUUAUGCUUUUGUAUGCACUUUGUGUAAAAUGAUAGGCAAUUCUGCAGCUCUUUAUAAAUAAAUUUAUUAUAUAAUCUUCUUAACUUGAUAUUUUGUACUGCAAGGGCAUUGUGGAUUGGUGGUGGUAUUAGAGAUUGCGGUUAGGCAUUAAUUGGGACUAUUGUGGUUACAAGCAUUAUGGUCAACUCUAUGAAAUACAUAUAUUCUUCAGGUUAGGCGUGUCUUGGGACUAUUGUGGUUACAUUGACACGACACCAAUAUAUAUAAUUACAUCGAAUUAUAUAAUUUUUUAAAUUAUUAACGGUGUCGGUGUAUCGGCAUUCGUGAUCG
rnacentral:lncRNA from 1 species